UUACGGUCAUGCCACAUUGAAACACCGUUUCCCCUAUGAUCGCCGAAGUUAAGCCACCUCGAGACAGGUUAGUACCUAGAUAGGUAACCGCUUGGGAAUGUCAGGUGCUA